rnacentral:rRNA from 1 species
AGUGAACGCUGGCGGUAGGCCUAACACAUGCAAGUCGAACGGCAGCACAGUAAGAGCUUGCUCUUACGGGUGGCGAGUGGCGGACGGGUGAGGAAUACAUCGGAAUCUACUUUUUCGUGGGGGAUAACGUAGGGAAACUUACGCUAAUACCGCAUACGACCUACGGGUGAAAGCAGGGGAUCUUCGGACCUUGCGCGAUUGAAUGAGCCGAUGUCGGAUUAGCUAGUUGGCGGGGUAAAGGCCCACCAAGGCGACGAUCCGUAGCUGGUCUGAGAGGAUGAUCGCCCACAUGGAACUUGAGCCACGUCCAAGCCCCCUACGGAAGCAGGAGUGGGGAAUAUUGGACAAUGGGCGCAAGCCUGAUCCAGCCAUACCGCGUGGGUGAAGAAGGCCUUCGGGUUGUAAAGCCCUUUUGUUGGGAAAGAAAAGCAGCAGGUUAAUACCCCGCUGUUCUGACGGUACCCAAAGAAUAAGCACCGGCUAACUUCGUG